CAGAGUUCAUGCCCUUCGGGGUAGACCUCCCACCCUUGUGUAUCUCUACACUGUUGCUUUGGCAGGCCGUCCAGGCUUCGGCCUGGCUGCGGGCUCCGGCCUGCAUGCGCCUGCCAGAGGAAUCACAACUCUGAAUUUUAGUAUUGUCUGAGUAAAUAUCAAAUAAGUUA
rnacentral:misc_RNA from 1 species